rnacentral:rRNA from 1 species
UACGGGGGGAGCAAGCGUUGUUCGGAUUUACUGGGCGUAAAGGGCGCGUAGGCGGUCGUGACAAGUCACUUGUGAAAUCUCCGGGCUUAACUCGGAACGGUCAAGUGAUACUGUCGGACUAGAGUACAGAAGGGGCAACUGGAAUUCUCGGUGUAGCGGUGAAAUGCGUAGAUAUCGAGAGGAACACCUGCGGCGAAGGCGGCAUCCUGGACCGAUAUUGACGCUGAGGCGCGAAAGCCAGGGGAGCAAACGGGG